ACGACGCUGGCGGCGUGCCUAAUACAUGCAAGUCGAACGGUCUUUCUAUGGAAGCUUGCUUCCACUGAGAAGAUAGUGGCGAACGGGUGAGUAACACGUGGGUAACCUGCCCAUAAGAGGGGGAUAACAUCCGGAAACGGGUGCUAAUACCGCAUAGUUUUCUUGAUCGCAUGAUCGGGAAAGGAAAGACGGCCUUUGUGCUGUCGCUUAUGGAUGGACCCGCGGCGUAUUAGUUAGUUGGUGAGGUAACGGCUCACCAAGACGAUGAUACGUAGCCGACCUGAGAGGGUGAUCGGCCACAUUGGGACUGAGACACGGCCCAAACUCCUACGGGAGGCAGCAGUAGGGAAUCUUCCGCAAUGGACGAAAGUCUGACGGAGCAACGCCGCGUGAGUGAAGAAAAGGUUUUCGGAUCGUAAAACUCUGUUGUCAGAGAAGAACAAGUUGGAGAGUAACUGCUCCAGCCUUGACGGUAUCUGACCAGAAAGCCACGGCUAACUACGUGCCAGCAGCCGC
rnacentral:rRNA from 1 species